rnacentral:rRNA from 1 species
UACAGAGGUCUCAAGCGUUGUUCGGAUUCAUUGGGCGUAAAGGGCGCGUAGGCGGCGGGGUAAGUCGGGUGUGAAAUCUCAGAGCUCAACUCUGAAAUGGCACUUGAUACUGCUCUGCUAGAGGACUGGAGAGGAGACUGGAAUUUACGGUGUAGCGGUGAAAUGCGUAGAUAUCAGGAGGAACACCGGUGGCGAAGGCGGGUCUCUGGGCAGUAACUGACGCUGAGGAGCGAAAGCGUGGGGAGCGAACAGG